CACAUCACCUUGAAACACUGAAGUUAAGCAACAUUGAGCCUGGUCACUACCUAGAUGGGUGACCUCUUGGGAAUACCAGGUGCU